rnacentral:rRNA from 1 species
AUUGAACGCUGGCGGCAUGCUUUACACAUGCAAGUCGAACGGCAGCGCGGGCUUCGGCCUGGCGGCGAGUGGCGAACGGGUGAGUAAUGCAUCGGAACGUGCCCAGUAGUGGGGGGUAGCCCGGCGAAAGCCGGAUUAAUACCGCAUACGACCUGAGGGUGAAAGCGGGGGACCGAAAGGCCUCGCGCUAUUGGAGCGGCCGAUGUCGGAUUAGCUAGUUGGUGGGGUAAAGGCUUACCAAGGCGACGAUCCGUAGCUGGUCUGAGAGGACGACCAGCCACACUGGGACUGAGACACGGACCAGACUCCUACGGGAGGCAGCAGUGGGGAAUUUUGGACAAUGGGGGCAACCCUGAUCCAGCCAUGCCGCGUGCGGGAAGAAGGCCUUCGGGUUGUAAACCGCUUUUGUUCGGGAAGAAAUCCUCUGGGCUAAUACCCCGGGGGGAUGACGGUACCGGAAGAAUAAGCACCGGCUAACUACGUG